GAUGAACGCUGGCGGCGUGCCUAAUACAUGCAAGUCGAGCGAACAGACGAGGAGCUUGCUCCUCUGACGUUAGCGGCGGACGGGUGAGUAACACGUGGAUAACCUACCUAUAAGACUGGGAUAACUUCGGGAAACCGGAGCUAAUACCGGAUAAUAUAUUGAACCGCAUGGUUCAAUAGUGAAAGACGGUUUUGCUGUCACUUAUAGAUGGAUCCGCGCCGCAUUAGCUAGUUGGUAAGGUAACGGCUUACCAAGGCAACGAUGCGUAGCCGACCUGAGAGGGUGAUCGGCCGCACGGGAACUGAGACACGGUCCAGACUCCUACGGGAGGCAGCAGUAGGGAAUCUUCCGCAAUGGGCGAAAGCCUGACGGAGCAACGCCGCGUGAGUGAUGAAGGUCUUCGGAUCGUAAAACUCUGUUAUUAGGGAAGAACAAAUGUGUAAGUAACUAUGCACGUCUUGACGGUACCUAAUCAGAAAGCCACGGCUAACUACGUG
rnacentral:rRNA from 1 species